rnacentral:rRNA from 1 species
UUAGAGGAAGUAAUAGUCGUAACAAGGUUUCCGUAGGUGAACCUGCGGAAGGAUCAUUACCGAGUCCCUGCCCUCCGGGGUAGACCUCCCACCCUGUCGACUCUACCGGGGUACUACCUACUUGGUCGCCACCUCGUUAGUUGCAGUACCCCAUCUUGCUUUGGCAGGCCGACCUCCCGGGUCGAGCUCGCCAGAGGACCCUCACACUCCGUCCUACCUGUAGUCCGAGUUAUGAUUUAAUCGUUAAAACUUUCAACAACGGAUCUCUUGGUUCCGGCAUCGAUGAAGAACGCAGCGAAAUGCGAUAAGUAAUGCGAAUUGCAGAAUUCAGUGAGUCAUCGAAUCUUUGAACGCACAUUGCGCCCCUUGGCAUUCCGAGGGGCAUGCCUGUUCGAGCGUCAUUAUCCCCCCUCCGGCCCCCGGGGCUGGGUGUUGGGCCCCGUCGGCGAUGACUAGCCCUAAAUGCAGUGGCGGCACCGCAGUGUUCCGAGCGUAGUCAAUGUCUCUCGCUACGGGGCAGAGCGGCAGUCGGCCAGUGAGACACACACAUGCUUGCCUAACCAAGCGUGUACCAAGGUUGACCUCGGAUCAGGUAGGAAUACCCGCUGAACUUAAGCAUAUCAAUAAGCGGAGG